AUUGAACGCUGGCGGCAGGCCUAACACAUGCAAGUCGAACGAGUGGCGGACGGGUGAGUAAUGUCUGGGAAACUGCCCGAUGGAGGGGGAUAACUACUGGAAACGGUAGCUAAUACCGCAUACCAUCGGAUGUGCCCAGAUGGGAUUAGCUAGUAGGUGGGGUAAUGGCUCACCUAGGCGACGAUCCCUAGCUGGUCUGAGAGGAUGACCGUCCACAUUGGAACUGAGACACGGUCCAGAUUCCGACGGGAGGCAGCAGUGUGGAAUAUUGCACAAGUGGCGAAAGCCUGAUGCAGCCAUUCCGCGUGUAUGAAGAAGGCCUUCGGGUUGUAAAGUACUUUCAGCGGGGAGGCGUUACCCGCAGAAGAAGCACCGGCUAACUCCGUGCCAGCAGCCGCGGUAAUAC
rnacentral:rRNA from 1 species